rnacentral:lncRNA from 1 species
UCUGUACUGAAAGCAGACCUUUUAAAUUGGAGAGAACAUUGUCAGUGUUUCAUUUUAGUGAGGGUAGAGAGGAGACAGAACUGCAUUUAUUAUUGGAAAUGUCAGGCAUACAAGGAUUUUAAUAGCUGGAAAGUAUUAAGAAAGAGGUACUAAUGAGGUCACUAGAGCAAGUGUCAGGUGUCUGAAAUACUUGGAAGGCUAGCAUUUUUAGCAGAACAAAAUAGAGAAUUAAGUUGGUACAGGCCUGUAAUCUAAGCUACUCAGGAGGCUGAGGCAGGAGGAACACAGGUUCAAGGCCAACCUCAGCAACUUUGUGAGGCCCUGUCUCAAAAUAAAGACUGGGGAUUUAGUGGUAGGGCAUAUGCAAGGCCCUGAGUUCAAUUCCUGAUACUGUGGGGGGGAUUUUUUUUUGGACAAACAUCAUGAGAGACAUAGGAGUGGUGAUAGGUAUCUAUGUUAUGAGGUUGACCUCUGGGAUAUUUUUAUAUCCUGUGUCAUGGACCCACUAUUUAUUGAGUGCCUAUUGUGGGUCAGGAACUAUGGUAGAUGCUGGGGCUACAGUGGUGACUCAGCAUGUUAAUAGACAUAGUGCUUGUUCUCAUGGAACUUUAAAGGCCAAAGCCUUAUUAGUAGGGGCUGAACAACAUUCCCAAUUGACUGUCUUAUGCCCUAUUAAUUCUGACCAGCACCCAUUCUUCUAAUAAUUUUUAUUUCUGACAGUUAGGUGUUGCCUUCUAAUAAAAAACACAUCUUGAUCUCCAGACCUCCAGACUUGACCUGCUGGGACCCAGCUCUAGGAUCCUACAUGUUAGUAUAUAGGAUCACGCUUCAGAAAUUUUCCUCCAUAGCCCUCAUCAGCUGCUUCUCCCAU